rnacentral:lncRNA from 1 species
CCCGCCGCGCUCGCCUCUCCGCCCCGCGUCCAGCUCGCCCAGCUCGCCCAGCGUCCGCCGCGCCUCGGCCAAGGCUUCAACGGACCACACCAAAAUGCCAUCUCAAAUGGAACACGCCAUGGAAACCAUGAUGUUUACAUUUCACAAAUUCGCUGGGGAUAAAGGCUACUUAACAAAGGAGGACCUGAGAGUACUCAUGGAAAAGGAGUUCCCUGGAUUUUUGGAAGCCAUAUUUCUCUCUCUGGUUGAUGGCAUGGACCCUACAGGAAAAACCACACCUUACCGCUUCUGACCAGCAUCACUACAAAAAGGAGUGCUGAAGCCAAUCACCAUAAUCAAAAAGACCCUCUGGCUGUGGACAAAAUAAUGAAGGACCUGGACCAGUGUAGAGAUGGCAAAGUGGGCUUCCAGAGCUUCUUUUCCCUA